rnacentral:rRNA from 1 species
CACGUAGGAGGCGAGCGUUGUCCGGAAUCAUUGGGCGUAAAGAGCGCGCAGGCGGCUUGGCAAGUCGGGUGUGAAAUCCCGGGGCUCAACCCCGUGACUGCAUCCGAUACUGUCAGGCUAGAGGUAGGUAGGGGAGAUCGGAAUUCCUGGUGUAGCGGUGAAAUGCGCAGAUAUCAGGAGGAACACCGGUGGCGAAGGUGGGUCUCUGGGCCGAUACUGACGCUGAGGAGCGAAAGCGUGGGGAGCGAACAGG